AUGAGAGAGAAGGCUCGCUAGCGACGAACAAAUCAUUGAUCGAUUUCCUGCAGUUCAAGAAAGGUAAGAGGAGGUGGGCCAAGGUAGAGGAGAAAAGUGCAAAAUAAUUAAGCAUUUUUUUGAGACGGAGGGAGAAGAUAAUACCUUAGUUAAGCAUCCUAAAAUUUUAAAAUUUAAAUUUGGUCAAACCAUUUGAUCAGAACUUAGGACAAAAAAGGUGAAUUUAAGCGAAAUUCCGGAGGCCCACUCCAUUUGACCGUGUCCAACUCACCUUGUUUUUUGUCGGUUUCCACAGAAGGAUAAGGUCCCCCUGUUUUAUACCCUUCCUCUUAUUUCCUUUCCUUUUCUUCCUCCC
rnacentral:lncRNA from 1 species